GAGAGCACAGUACGAUGAAAGUUGUAAGCUGUGUUCGGGGGGGAGUUAUUGUCUAUCGUUGGCCUCUAUGGUAGAAUCAGUCGGGGGACCUGAGAGGCGGACUUAAUUAAUUGUUUUCGAUUCACCGGAUCUUACCUCUU
rnacentral:sRNA from 1 species